CCUACGGGAGGCAGCAGUGAGGAAUAUUGGUCAAUGGACGAGAGUCUGAACCAGCCAAGUAGCGUGAAGGAUGACUGCCCUAUGGGUUGUAAACUUCUUUUAUAAAGGAAUAAAACGAGGCACGUGUGCCUUUUUGCAUGUACUUUAUGAAUAAGGAUCGGCUACCUCCGUGCCAGCAGCCGCGGUAAUACGGAGGAUCCGAGCGUUAUCCGGAUUUAUUGGGUUUAAAGGGAGCGUAGAUGGGUUGUUAAGUCAGUUGUGAAAUUUUGCGGCUCAACCGUAAAAUUGCAAUUGAUACUGGCAGUCUUGAGUACAGUUGAGGUAGGCGGAAUUCGUGGUGUAGCGGUGAAAUGCUUAGAUAUCACGAAGAACCCCGAUUGCGAAGGCAGCUUACUAAACUGUGACUGACAUUGAUGCUCGAAAGUGUGGGUAUCAAACAGGAUUAGAUACCCCAGUAGUC
rnacentral:rRNA from 1 species